UGGUGAGGUAAUGGCUCACCAAGGCGACGAUCCGUAACUGGUCUGAGAGGAUGAUCAGUCACACUGGAACUUGAGACACGGUCCAGACUCCUACGGGAGGCAGCAGUGGGGAAUAUUGGACAAUGGGCGAAAGCCUUGAUCCAGCCAUGCCGCGUGUGUGAAGAAGGUCUUCGGAUUGUAAAGCACUUUAAGUUGGGAGGAAGGGCAGUUACCUAAUACGUGAUUGUUUUGACGUUACCGACAGAAUAAGCACCGGCUAACUCUGUGCCAGCAGCCGCGGUAAUACAGAGGGUGCAAGCGUUAAUCGGAAUUACUGGGCGUAAAGCGCGCGUAGGUGGUUUGUUAAGUUGGAUGUGAAAUCCCCGGGCUCAACCUGGGAACUGCAUUCAAAACUGACUGACUAGAGUAUGGUAGAGGGUGGUGGAAUUUCCUGUGUAGCGGUGAAAUGCGUAGAUAUAGGAAGGAACACCAGUGGCGAAGCGACCACCUGGACUAAUACG
rnacentral:rRNA from 1 species